UGGGGAAUAUUGCACAAUGGGCGCAAGCCUGAUGCAGCCAUGCCGCGUGUAUGAAGAAGGCCUUCGGGUUGUAAAGUACUUUCAGCGGGGAGGAAGGUGUUGUGGUUAAUAACCACAGCAAUUGACGUUACCCGCAGAAGAAGCACCGGCUAACUCCGUGCCAGCAGCCGCGGUAAUACGGAGGGUGCAAGCGUUAAUCGGAAUUACUGGGCGUAAAGCGCACGCAGGCGGUCUGUCAAGUCGGAUGUGAAAUCCCCGGGCUCAACCUGGGAACUGCAUUCGAAACUGGCAGGCUAGAGUCUUGUAGAGGGGGGUAGAAUUCCAGGUGUAGCGGUGAAAUGCGUAGAGAUCUGGAGGAAUACCGGUGGCGAAGGCGGCCCCCUGGACAAAGACUGACGCU
rnacentral:rRNA from 1 species